rnacentral:lncRNA from 1 species
UUAUGUACAAAUUUGUCAUAGGUUCCCAACAUAAUAAAAUUUAUACUGGAGAAAACCCUACAAAUGUGAAGAAUGUGGCAAUGCUUUUAAUCAGUCCUCAAACCUUAUUGAACGUAAAAUAAUUCAUACUGGAGACAAACCCUAUAAAUGUGAAAAAAUGUAACAAAGUCUUUAAUUGGUCUUCAACUCUUACUGAACAUCAGAGAAUUUAUACAGAAGAUAAAGCCUAAGAAUACGAAGAAUGUGAAAAAGGCUUUAACUUUUGAACCCUUAUUACACAUAGGAUACAUCAUAUUGGAGAGAAAUUCUAGAAAUGUGAAGAAUAUGGCAAAGCUUUUAAUAAGUUCUCAAACCAUACUGGAGAGAAACUCUACAAAUCUGAAAGAUGUGACAAUGUUUUUGAAAACACCUCAAACUUCUAAAAAUAAAAGAAAUACUAGUAAGAAACAGUAGAAGUGUGAGUAAUGUGACAAAGCCUUUAAAUUCUUGUCACACUUGAUUGUAAGAUAAUUUAUACUGGAGAAAACUUCUUCAAGUAUGGAGAAUACGACAAAAAGUUUAACCAAUGCUCACAUCUUAUUGCACAGGAAAGCAUUUAUUCUUGAGAAAAAUUAUACUAAUAUAAAAAAUGUGGAAAAGCCAUUCAUAUCUGCUCACAUCUUACUCAACAUCACGGAGUUCAUACUUAAAGCAUUAACAAUGCAAUUACUGUCAAAAGAUCUAUCAGAAUAUAUAAACCUUUAAUAUGUAUUAAUUUUGAACAUGAACGAACAUUACAAAUAUAAAAAGGGUUUUAGUGCCUUUAAUUCUAUUACAGAUCUUGUUGUAUACAUUUUGUGCUAGAGGAAAACCCUACGGCAGUUGCUCAAACUUUAUUCAACACCAGGAAAUUUAUACUGUAGAAAUACCCUGCAAAUUUAAUGAAUUUGGAAAACCAUUUUUUAAAAAACUACAGCUUAGAAAACAUCAGAGUGUAUACUAAGAUUUUUUUUGUAAAUACAGUAAAUAUAGAGUAUUUUAUCCAAAAUUAAGUCUAUGUCAGUACCAGAGAAUAUACAGUAGUAAUAAUAAGGCACUGAAAUGUCAG